GAUUAGGUGGCCGACGUCUUAAGGCGAUGGACUGCUAAUCCAUUGGGGAUUCCACGCGUGAGCUCGAAUCCCAUCCUGAUCC
rnacentral:tRNA from 1 species